rnacentral:siRNA from 1 species
CGGGCGUCGGCCUGUGGGCUC